GGGGCGGUCGCCGGGAGCCCGCGCACCGGGACCCCCGGGAGGAACCACCGGGAAUUACCGGGGGCAGCUCCGGGAGGAGCCCCUGGGCACGGCGGGGCCCCGCGCGGCUCCAGGCACCGCCGCGAUGCGCAGCGGAGCAUCCCGGGAGAGGCGCGGGAAUGCCCCGGGCAGGGCAGCUGGAAUGGAGCUGGCUCCUAGAAAGGCUGAAUGCUUGGAGUCAGAAAAUUCCCUGCUGUCACAUCGUCCCUUGCCUUGGAGCUGGGCUCAGGCUUACAGUGAUUCCUGUUGCACACCCUUCCCAUCCCAGGCACAUCUGAGCAUCAUCACUCUGGGCUGAAUCAGACCUGUCUGAGCAUUCACCCUCCUGUCACAGAAGAAGCAAAGGAUGCAGCAAGGCUCAGAGUGGGCAGCUCCAGGUGUCAACUGAGCAGAGCCAGGAUCAGCUGCAGUUAUUCCAGAGUACGUGUCCACGUGCAGAAUAUUCCAGAACAGGCCUCCUCCGCAUCAGUCAUCAGCUUCAAUUACCAGUUUUCCGGAGCCGAGCCAUCAGGCAGUCUGACACGAGGGUCCAACCUAAUUCCCACCUUCUCCAAAGUCAAGAGCAUAAUGUGCAGAUGAAAAGGUGGAAAAUAGCCUGGACUUCAUUAGCAUGCAGAGCCCGGCUGUUCAUUUGCUUGCUGCGAAUGGAAGUUCUGACACUCGGCGCCUUCUGCAAUAUGAGAAAAGUCCUCUUCAGAGUAUAUGAUGUCCUCACCAGCCAGCAAAGGUCAUCAAAAAGGCAGGUGCUGACCUUGCUCCCUGCUCUUCAUGACUAGUUUAUUGAUUCCAGGAACACCUCAUUACAUGCCGGAUCAACAUAUUAUUGCCAUGUUCAGCGGCUGAAUUGUUUACAAGUGUCUUUAUAACCAGCAGAAAGCCUUCCGGAUGAUGCAUGACUACACUCAUUUGGAUGUGACCUGCCAAUUAGAUGUUAUCCGAUCUGGUGCCGUGUGUCCUGAUCCCUGACCGGGCCCGCUGCCCUGCAUCAGCACGGGCCCAUUUACUACUUCUUUCGAACGGCUCUUUGGCAAAGUGUCCAUUAGCCUGUCAGUCUGUAAAUAUUUUUUUUUUUUUUUUUUUACCUCGGGCAGAGCGGUGGAGGCGCCGCCGGCGCUCCUGCUCUGUCAUUUGCUAUGCAUGAAGUUGAUAAUCAGCUGGGGGAGGCGAGGGGGUGUUUUAUGGCGGCGUCUGAUGGCCCACCCCAUUUGCAGUCAGCGUGCGUGGCCCGCGCUCCCGCGCCGCGUGUCACCCCGCCACAGGGACCCGGCAUAUUUUAUUCCAGCACCGCGAGACUGCUGAUUUAUCGGUGGGGGGAAGGCAGGAGCGAACCCUCCCCGUGCUCAGCCUCCCCCUGCCCUGCCUCCAAAGGCCCCAUAACUUACCACCCAGCAAAUGCCUUCCCCCUUCUCCAUCUCUGUGUCCUCCCCCGUUAAUAUAUUGCGCUGCGUUAUUUAUCCCGCAGCCCGGGGUGUUUACACGUGCGGAGAUGCGAGAACUUCAAAAAUAAAUCACGGGGCACGACUACUAUUUUAAUCUCUCAUUACAGACACUUCUGUGGCUCCAUAAAGAAAAGAGUGGCGCACAGCAAGUCUGUAAAGAGAGAUCUUCCAUGCCAAAAAGCGGUGUUGGGAUUGUGGCUUCCGAGCACCAGAAAUCUCCACAGGCUGGGGUUUUGAUUUUUCCUCCUCAGCCUUUGGUGGUGGUAGGGUGGCUGAGAUGCCAAAGGAAGCUCUGUGCAGCCAUGGAUGUGGCUGAUGUGGCAGUGCCAGGAUGUCCAGGGGGGCUGUGGCCUAACUGGAAUAUGAUAAAAUGUUCACACACACGGCACUCUCUGCCCAGAGCUCUGCAAACAUUAAUCAAGUUGCCCAGCGCCCCUUGGCAAGUGUCAGUGCUGAAAUCCCCCUGCUGGGGUUAAAUCCAGGGACCAGAAGGGCUAAAGGGCUCCAAGGGUGAGCCCACAGCCCCAAAAAUGCCACAUCUCCAGCAUCCUGCUCUCCAGAGCCAGCAUUGCAUCUCCCCAGUCCCAAAACCCACCGUGCCAGGCCCUGGGCUGCCAAACCACAGGAAUGUGACAGGAGGGAGGGAUGCCCAUGCUAGGUGACAGAAAACAGCUGAGGGUUCAAUUCCCUCCUUACAGCAUGAAGCAUUGGGAAUUGGGGGCUGGAAAAAGGGGGAUUUGAAUUCCUUAAAACAGCACAAUUAGCUUCCAAAAUAAAAACUGGAAUGUGUUUGUUUAAUUAAAGCUGAGGCAAAACACACACUCAGGUCAAACCAGCCUCAGGCUCCAGAGACAGCACAGUGCAUUGAUCUGAAUUUUGGAAAGGAGUGGAAAAAGCUUCCAUUUCCCAGCAAAUCCCUGGCUCUGGGCAGCCCUGGAGCUGCUGGUGCUGAAUAUUCAGAGGGCUGAUUCCCCAUGGUGAGCUCGGAACCAACGCUGCAGCCAGGUAACAGCAGGAAUGGAGCCUGGGAGCUCCAAAUCCCAAAUGUGGGAUCUCCACCGGGCGCAGGGAUCUCCCUCCCCCAGGGGAGGCACCAGGUCUGGCCUGUCCCACAGUCCCAGUCGGGGAUCUGGCCUUGUUUUGGCUGUGUUAAGCCUGCAGUGGUUUAUCAAGCCCCAGACAUACCUCCAAAUUUGGCACCUUAUCCCUGCGCUUCUGUUUGUGUCCCUGUUACUGGAUUUCUGUUCAUGAUGUAAAUUCUCCUUUUAAAUGGGAGAAAAAAUCAGCUCUUUAUGACAGCAGACAUUAAAGUUGUAUGACUAUGGAGAAGUGCAUUAACCUUUUCUUUAGCUUGGAGAACUUUGUAAUCUUUUAAAAAUCAACAUUUUAUUAAUUUUGGAAUGAUGCUUAAUGCCUGAGGGCAGUGAGGAGCAGUGGCAGCACCAGUGGAGCUCUUUGCCACUCUAACUUAAGGUCAGGCUUGCGAGUGCUGCAGGAACCAUGCAGAUAUGGAAUCAUGGAAUUGUGAAGGUUGGAAAAGCCCUCUAAAAUCACUGAGUCCAAGCAUUCCUCCGGCACUGCCAAGGCCACCACUAAAUGGUGUCCCCAGGUUCCACACCCACACAUCUUUUGAACCCCUCCAGCGAUGGGGACUCAGCUCCAGCUGGUGGUGCUUGGCCAGCCUGGAGCUGGACCUCUGCAUCCAGUGGGUAAGGAGGAAGGAGCCAACUCAGUUUUAUUGUAAGAUUGGGUUUCCCUGGCAGAAAAUCAGGAUGUCCUUCCUGGGCUGAAAUUUGGAUUUAGCAGGGCAACUGUCAGCUGUUCUUCCUUGCAGACUGGGGCAAGGAGACAGCCAGGAGAACCCAGCCCCUUUCCAGGGGGCUGUGCAGGGAAGGAAGCAGCUGAAGGGCUGAAAAUGCUGCACCCAGCGAGAGCAGCUCAUGGGGCCACAGACCUCACAUGGAUGCACCUGGAGCCCAGAGCUGGGAGCCGUAUGAGCCUCUCCAGGUGGUGUGCACACACUGGGCAGCGUGGGCUCUUAUUAAUUACUGCUAAAAACUUAUUUCACAUAUCGUUCUUGAUGGGAUUUUGUUGCAGAGGGCUGCUGAUAUUUUAGGGAUACGCAGGGCGAAUCUCUGUCCGUGCAGCCAAAUCCCCGGGCUGGGGCUCCGGAGCCGCCGGCACAGCCCUCGCCGAGUGUUUCCAAACUGAAUAGUCAUUGGUUUGGCAGAUAAUUCAGAAACUAUUUGUAUGAGCUGUUUAUCAAAUUAUUAACUGCACAGAUGUUGUUUGGUUGAAGAGCAGCUGAACCUUCUCUCUGCCAGCCGGGGAGACAAAGGUCUGCAGGAAUAAUUGGAGAUGUGCAUGGAAUAUUAAAUUAAUUUACUGCUCUUAAUUCUUAUGCAAAUCCUGACCUCUGAUAGAGCCUAUCAAUUACCCUGCACACAGGGAAAAGAAAGGAGAACAGUUUCUUUCUUUUCUUUCCCCCCCUCUCCUUUUUUUCCUGUUGUUCUCCAGUUUGGGGGUUUGUUUCUUUGUUGUUGU